GGGGCUGUGGCCCAGUGGUAGAGUGCUCACCUAGCAUGUGUGAGACAUUGGGUUCAAACCUCAGCACCA
rnacentral:tRNA from 1 species